rnacentral:rRNA from 1 species
ACGGUCCUAAGGUAGCGAAAUUCCUUGUCGGGUAAGUUCCGACCUGCACGAAUGGCAUAACGAUGGCCACACUGUCUCCUCCCGAGACUCAGUGAAGUUGAAAUGUUUGUGAUGAUGCAAUCUACCCGCGGCUAGACGGAAAGACCCCAUGAACCUUUACUGCAGCUUUGCAUUGAACUGUGAACCGAUUUGUGUAGGAUAGGUGGGAGGCAGAGAAGAGGCCACGCCAGUGGUCUUGGAGCCGGCCUUGAAAUACCACCCUGAUUUGUUUGCGGUUCUAACCACGGACAGUGAUCCUGUCUUGGGACCGUGCAUGGUAGGCAGUUUGACUGGGGCGGUCUCCUCCUAAAGGGUAACGGAGGAGUACGAAGGUACGCUAGGUACGGUCGGAAAUCGUGCUGAUAGUGCAAUGGCAAAAGCGUGCUUGACUGCGAGAGCAACAACUCGAGCAGAUGCGAAAGCAGGUCAUAGUGAUCCGGUGGCUCUGAAUGGAAGGGCCAUCGCUCAACGGAUAAAAGGUACUCUGGGGAUAACAGGCUGAUACCGCCCAAGAGUUCAUAUCGACGGCGGUGUUUGGCACCUCGAUGUCGGCUCAUCGCAUCCUGGGGCUGUAGUCGGUCCCAAGGGUAUGGCUGUUCGCCAUUUAAAGAGGUACGUGAGCUGGGUUUAAAACGUCGUGAGACAGUUUGGUCCCUAUCUGCCGUGGGCGUUGGAAGAUUGACGGGGGCUGCUCCUAGUACGAGAGGACCGGAGUGGACGCACCUCUGGUGUACCGGUUGUCACGCCAGUGGCAUUGCCGGGUAGCUAAGUGCGGAAGAGAUAACCGCUGAAAGCAUCUAAGCGGGAAACUUGCCUGAAGAUGAGUCUUCCCGGAGGUAAAACCUCCCUCAAGAGUCGUCCGAGACCAGGACGUCGAUAGGUCAGGUGUGUAAGCGCUGUAAGGCGUUGAGCUAACUGAUACUAAUUGCUCGUGAGGCUUGAUCCU